AAGGAGUUGGUCCGGUAAGGACCGAUUUUGGCCUCAAAUUUCAGGUUCAUCUGACGAAAGAUUUUGACCUCUUUUUUAACACUUAAGUGUCUAUUUCAUUUGAUUUAGUUAGUUUUUGUCAAAGAUUUUAACUGAUUUAGUCAUUAAAAACGAUCCGAUUCAAGCUCAAAAUGAAAAAUCUACCAAAUUUGUUAAAAAAUGUCACUUUUCAGAUGGUUUUUGUCAAAAAUGAAAGUGGCCGCAUCCGUGUUCAUCCUAAACCUUUAUAUAUGUUAUGUAUUAUCAUAAAAUACAACUCUCAUUCCAAUAUUAAGGAUGAACAGGAAUGCGGCCACUUUCGUUUUAAGCGAAAACUGUCUAAAAUUUAACUAAAAUGAUAGAAUUGUUAAGUUUUCAGUAAUUUAGCAUGACUUAGUGGUGCUAGUACUCGAUAUAUGUGCAUUGUAUUGUCAAAAACAGCCCAUAUUUAUGUAGCAGAAGCAUUCUACUGUCCAAUAAAUAACUAAAAGUUUACAUUUUAACAAUUUGGUAAAACUGCUAUAUUUUGGGGACAAAAAGGGGUCUUACCGGACCUUCUCCUUUGAAU
rnacentral:lncRNA from 1 species